rnacentral:rRNA from 1 species
GGGUCAGUAGGUUGGUCGUGCCACCGGUACGUACUGGUCUCACUGAUUCCUCCUUCCUGAAGAACCGUAAUGCCAUUAAUUUGGUGUUGCGGGGAAACAGGACUGUUACUUUGAAAAAAUUAGAGUGUUUAAAGCAAGCUAACGCUUGAAUACAUUAGCAUGGAAUAAUGAAAUAGGACGAUCGAUCCUAUUUUGUUGGUUUCUAGGAUUGACGUAAUGAUUAAUAGAGAUAAUUGGG